rnacentral:sRNA from 2 species
UAAAUACCUCGGCCUAAUCCUUGAAAAAGGAACGGAGGAACCAAUUUAUUGGGGCUAAUUCUGCGGUUUUGCAGAAGGGAUGAGAGCAACUCUUUCGCCAUCCUGCCCGUCAGCUAACUUCGUCGGCUAAAGCGAAGGAGGUC